UGAAUCACCAGUGUGGGCCUUGUGCACC
rnacentral:piRNA from 1 species